AGUAACCCAAGUUUACAACGUUGGGACCCGAAAGAUGGUGAACUGUGCCCGGGCAGGACGAGGCCAGAGGAAACUCUGGUGGAGGUCCGUAGCGGUUCUGACGUGCAAAUCGAUCGUCAGAUCCGGGCCUAGGGGCGAAAGACUAAUCGAACCAUCUAGUAGCUGGUUCCCUCCGAAGUUUCCCUCAGGAUAGCUGGCGCUCGAGAUUCAGUCUCAUCCGGUAAAGCGAAUGAUUAGAGGCCUUGGGGCCGAAACGACCUCAACCUGUUCUCAAACUUUAAAUGGGUGAGAAGUCUGGCUUGCAUGACUGAAGCCCGGACAAUUGGAUGAGAGUGCCCAGUGGGCCACUUUUGGUAAGCAGAACUGGCGCUGUGGGAUGAACCAAACGCUGGGUUACGGCGCCCCAGCUCCAUUUGAAACAAGUACUCAUAUAUGGAAAUUCUUUAAGUUUGUGUUUGUUUGAUUACUUUUAGCAUUUACUUUAAGUGGUACGUUCAGCUCAAGCUCAUAAUAAUGGUUGUUAAAUAAUGACGCACAUAUACGUAUGUAUGCAAAGGACAUGUUGAAAUUGAGGGCCUGAAUUGAUAAAAAUAUGGAACUAAAAUAUAGUGAAAAGUACAGUUCU
rnacentral:ncRNA from 1 species